rnacentral:rRNA from 1 species
UAAUACGUAGGCAGCAAGCGUUGUUCGGAGUUACUGGGCGUAAAGGGUGUGUAGGCGGUUUGGUAAGUCUGGUGUGAAAUCUCCCGGCUCAACUGGGAGGGUGCGCCGGAAACUGCCGGACUAGAGUGCGGGAGAGGAGAGUGGAAUUCCUGGUGUAGCGGUGAAAUGCGUAGAUAUCAGGAGGAACACCGGUGGUGUAGACGGCUCUCUGGACCGUAACUGACGCUGAGACACGAAAGCGUGGGUAGCAAACAGGAUUAGAUACCCUGGUAGUCCACGCCCUAAACGAUGCAUAUUUGGUGUGGGUCAUUCAGUUGAUCCGUGCCGGAGCUAACGCGUUAAAUAUGCCGCCUGGGGAGUACAGUCGCAAGGCU